rnacentral:rRNA from 1 species
UACGUAGGGUGCAAGCGUUAAUCGGAAUUACUGGGCGUAAAGCGUGCGCAGGCGGUGAUGUAAGACAGAUGUGAAAUCCCCGGGCUUAACCUGGGAACUGCGUUUGAAACUGGGGAGCUGGAGUGUAGAAGAGGGGGGUGGAAUUCCAGGUGUAGCAGUGAAAUGCGUAGAGAUCUGGAGGAACACCGAUGGCGAAGGCAGCCCCCUGGGCUAACACUGACGCUCAUGCACGAAAGCGUGGGGAGCAAACAGG